AAUAGUUUGAAGAAGGUGUGUAAAGAAUAGCAGAAAUGGUUAGAGCAGAGCUGAAGUGCUGCAAGGAAGGGCAGAGCCUGAAUGUGCAUGGGGAAGCCAAGCCCAGCCCGUGGAGAAACUGGGAGGAGAAAAGGAGAGCCGUGCUGAUGUGUUUCCUCCGCUCUUCCCUCUCCCGUCAGCCCUCCCUGAGCUGAUGGCCCAGAUGGAGGAGCCAGCGCUGCGUGUCUGCCCAGAAUGUGCCAGCGCGGCGGGCACACUGGGGGAGAACAGCGGGAUGAGAGUGGUGUGUUCAUAGUGCUCUAUCACUAGUCUGCCAACAGCAACAGCAUGCUAGAGCGGUUUAAAGUGCAAGAUAAACAUUAACUGGCAAUGCUGCCUGACACCUGUAUGUCGCUGCAUGUACUUUGCUUGGGAGUUCAGCGCUGAGCUGGACUCAGCUGACGAGCCACAGAGGCUCUGUGUUGGUGGUGGGCAGCCCCAAGAGCAGUCCCAAUGCACACUCCUGCUCUGCCUCUCCAGGGGCUUGCAAACAACUUCCCUACCGUGCUGCCCUGGGACUCCUGUCUGCUCCUGGAGAGGACACCAGGCUGCCUGUUGCUCCGGCCCCGAAGCAGAGCCAGCGCCUGCCGGGGAGGAGGCUGGAGGGGAGCAUCCUCCAUGAUCUCCCUGGACACACAUACCUGCCAAGUAUAAAAGCAUUUCAUUGGCCAUAUUGUAAAUUGGUUCUGCUAAUUAACAUAUACUAAUGCUAACCCACCCUUUGCUGAAGAAAGAAACAAUGUUCUUCAAGAUCCCCAGGAAGACACAGGUAAGCAACAUCCUUCAUGUAAACGCAAUCUUGUGUGAAGGCUCCCCGGGAGCGGUACAGGCAUCAGGACUGCUAUGAAAUAAGAAUAAAACCAAAAAUGCUUUAGCUAUUAUAUCCUAAAGCAUUGCAAAUACUUCUUCAAAAAUGGAAAAUACCAUUUUCCUGCCUGCUGCAUCACCAGCAUCUCCUGCAAAAUCUGGGGUUCAGCUGGCGUUUUUCAGAAGUG